CCUACGGGAGGCAGCAGUGAGGGAUAUUGGUCAAUGGGGGAAACCCUGAACCAGCAACGCCGCGUGAGGGAAGACGGUUUUCGGAUUGUAAACCUCUGUCCUCUGUGAAGAUAAUUACGGUAGCCGAGGAGUAAUCUCCGGCUCACUACGUGCCAGCCGCCGCGGUCAUACGUAGGGAGCAAGCGUUGUCCGGAUUUACUGGGUGUAAAGGGUGCGUAUGCGGCCUUGCAAGUCAGACGUGAAAUCCAUGGGCUUAACCCGUGAACUGCUGUUGAAACUGUAGGGCUUGAGUGACGUAGAGGCAGGCGGAAUUCGCGGUGUAGCGGUGAAAUGCGUAGAGAUCGGGAGGAACACCAGUGGCGAAGGCGGCCUGCUGGGCUGUAACUGACGCUGAAGCACGAAAGCGUGGGUAGCAAACAGGAUUAGAUACCCCUGUAGUC
rnacentral:rRNA from 1 species